rnacentral:rRNA from 1 species
GGUAACAGGUCUUCGGACGCUGACGAGUGGCGAACGGGUGAGUAAUGCAUCGGAACGUGCCCAGUCGUGGGGGAUAACUGCUCGAAAGAGCAGCUAAUACCGCAUACGACCUGAGGGUGAAAGCGGGGGACCGUAAGGCCUCGCGCGAUUGGAGCGGCCGAUGUCAGAUUAGCUAGUUGGUGGGGUAAAGGCCUACCAAGGCAACGAUCUGUAGUUGGUCUGAGAGGACGACCAGCCACACUGGGACUGAGACACGGCCCAGACUCCUACGGGAGGCAGCAGUGGGGAAUUUUGGACAAUGGGCGCAAGCCUGAUCCAGCAAUGCCGCGUGCAGGAAGAAGGCCUUCGGGUUGUAAACUGCUUUUGUCAGGGAAGAAAUCUUCUGGGCUAAUACCCCGGGAGGAUGACGGUACCUGAAGAAUAAGCACCGGCUAACUACGUGCCAGCAGCCGCGGUAAUACGUAGGGUGCGAGCGUUAAUCGGAAUUACUGGGCGUAAAGCGUGCGCAGGCGGUUAUGUAAGACAGAUGUGAAAUCCCCGGGCUCAACCUGGGAACUGCAUUUGUGACUGCAUGACUGGAGUGCGGCAGAGGGGGAUGGAAUUCCGCGUGUAGCAGUGAAAUGCGUAGAUAUGCGGAGGAACACCGAUGGCGAAGGCAAUCCCCUGGGCCUGCACUGACGCUCAUGCACGAAAG